GACGAACGCUGGCGGCGUGCUUAACACAUGCAAGUCGAACGGAAAGGCCUGCUUUCCCUUGUGGAUUGCGGGUCCUCGAGUGGCGAACGGGUGAGUAACUCGUGAGUGAUCUGCCCCCAACUUGGGUAUAAGCCUGGGAAACUGGGUCUAAUUCCCGAUAGGACUGCAGGGUGGUGCCUGUGGUGGAAAACGAUUUUCUAGUGGUUGGGGAUGAGCUCGCGGCCUAUCAGCUUGUUGGUGGGGUAAUGGCCGACCAAGGCGGCGACGGGUAGCCGGCCUGAGAUGGGGGACGAUCGAAUUGAGACUCGGAUACGACCCAGACGCGAACGAGAAGCAGGAGAUGGGAAUAAUGGAGAGUGAGCGGGAGCCAGAAGCAGCGAGGGCGCGUGGGAGAUGACGGGCUUGGGGAUGUAAACUCCUUGGGACCGAGAGGAAGCGACCUGGUUGGAAGGGUGGUGACGGUAGUGGAAGAAGAAGCACCGGCUAACUACGUG
rnacentral:rRNA from 1 species